AUGGCUCAGGAUGAACGCUAGCGAUAGGCUUAACACAUGCAAGUCGAGGGGCAGCACGGUGUAGCAAUACACGUGGUGGCGACCGGUGUACGGGUGCGUAACACGUAUGCAACCUACCCGCUAUGGGGGAUAACCCGGCGAAAGUCGGACUAAUACCCCAUAUUAUUCUUACCGGGCAUCCGGUAGGUCUGAAAGAUUUAUCGAUUGCGGAUGGGCAUGCGGAUGAUUAGCUAGUAGGUGGGGUAACGGCUCACCUAGGCGACGAUCAUUAGGGGUUCUGAGAGGAAGGUCCCCCACACUGGAACUGAGACACGGUCCAGACUCCUACGGGAGGCAGCAGUGAGGAAUAUUGGUCAAUGGGCGCUAGCCUGAACCAGCCAAGUCGCGUGAAGGAUGAACCAGAUCUAUGGUUUGUAAACUUCUUUUGCAGGGGAGUAAAGUGCGACACGUGUGUUGUAUUGCAAGUACCCUGCGAAUAAGCAUCGGCUAACUCCGUGCCAGCCGCCGC
rnacentral:rRNA from 1 species